UUGACAAUGAUACGUCUACCUUCUCCAGAGUAUUCUUGACUUCUGUUGAUGUCGUGAAGGGGUUUUUCUUCA